UCAGGAGAAGGAACACACAGGCACAACUAGGAGACCCAUGUCUACCUCUGCAAAUUUCUGGUGAAUGUGAUGGCUGUGUGGCUUCUCCAGGUGUCCAUGCACUGUAGAAGAAGAGCUGAGCUUCCUAGGAAUGCUGCGUUCCGCUUCUCCAAAGACCCCACUGUUCUGCUGUCAUUCAUCAUAUGCUAUCAGGUGUUGGUUGGAGCUGGUUGGGCAUUUAUCCAGGUAUUGGUUAUCUUCACCGUCAGGAGAAGGAACACACAGGCACAACUAGGAGACCCAUGUCUACCUCUGCAAAUUUCUGGUGAAUGUGAUGGCUGUGUGGCUUCUCCAGGUGUCCAUGCACUGUAGAAGAAGAGCUGAGCUUCCUAGGAAUGCUGCGUUCCGCUUCUCCAAAGACCCCACUGUUCUGCUGUCAUUCAUCAUAUGCUAUCAGGUGUUGGUUGGAGCUGGUUGGGCAUUUAUCCAGGUAUUGGUUAUCUUCACCGUCAGGAGAAGGAACACACAGGCACAACUAGGAGACCCAUGUCUACCUCUGCAAAUUUCUGGUGAAUGUGAUGGCUGUGUGGCUUCUCCAGGUGUCCAUGCACUGUAGAAGAAGAGCUGAGCUUCCUAGGAAUGCUGCGUUCCGCUUCUCCAAAGACCCCACUGUUCUGCUGUCAUUCAUCAUAUGCUAUCAGGUGUUGGUUGGAGCUGGUUGGGCAUUUAUCCAGGUAUU